UCUGAUUUGUAUAACAGGCAUUUCAUUGAAUUUACAGAAUUCAUCCCAGACUUCUGACCACACAGUGGCAGUAUAACAUCAGGAAAGUGAGCUGAUUUUUGCAUAGCAGGAAGAGAAAGAUGAAGUAACAGGCUGGAGAGGAUCUCUUAAAGUGACCAUUAAUCAGAUUGAUCAUAGACCAACUUCACAUCAAGGCCAUCGACGAAAAAUGAGGAAACAAAUCAAACGAGCUUAAAAAAUAAAUAAAUAAAAAAUAGCAAAUGCUGUUUGCAUAUAUAGGGAACUAAGUGACUGUUGCAAUCAUAAGUUUAACAUAUUAUACAUUAAUUAAAGGGUGUUAUUACAAUUGUCAUAUGUAAAUGUUUAGUUGAUCAAAAUAUCACAAUAAAGUCAUGUACAAAACUUAAACUGAUGGGGAAAAAAUGUAUGCGUGCAUAUUAGCCA
ensembl:lncRNA